rnacentral:snRNA from 1 species
GGAUGUGAGGAUGAUCUGGCUGUGACUUCUGUCACCCCAUUGAUCACCAGGGUUGAUUCCGCUGAUCUGGCUGGCUAGACAGGUGUCCCCUUCCUCUGUCACUGCUCCAUGUACAUCCCUCCCGAAGCUGCACGCUCAGUCGAAGAGGACGACCUUUCUGGCUAGAGGAGGAUCGUUCUUUGGUCAAGGGUAUAUAAGUAGUUGUGCUCCCCUGCUAGAACCUUCAAACAAGCUCUCAAUACGUAGGGAGUGACACACAGGGCUAGGUCCCUUCAGGUUGGGAGAUAUGGGCU